rnacentral:rRNA from 1 species
UACAGAGGGUGCGAGCGUUGUCCGGAAUCACUGGGCGUAAAGGGCGCGUAGGCGGCUUGAUAAGUGUGCGGUGAAAGCCCGGGGCUCAACCCCGGGUCGGCCGUGCGAACUGUCGAGCUGGAGCACUGUAGAGGCAGGUGGAAUUCCGGGUGUAGUGGUGGAAUGCGUAGAGAUCCGGAGGAACACCAGCGGCGAAGGCGGCAUCCUGGACUGGUCCUGACACUCAAUGAGCGGAAAGCGUGGGGAGCGAUCCGG